rnacentral:SRP_RNA from 1 species
ACAGGGUGUUCUGGCGUGCCCCUGUAAUCCAGCUACUUGGAAGUCGGAUUCAGAGGAUGGUUUGAGGACGGGGUUCACAGCGGCUGGAUUGUUACACGUUGACCGGGUGUCCGCACUAAGCUGGUCAUCAACAUGGUGUACUUAAGGGAACUCAAAGUGCUCCAGGUUCGCUAAGGAGGGGCGAAUCAGGCCAGGGAGGAAAUAAAAAUUAGUAAAAAAAAAAAAAGCAUGUCAACGUAACGAUGCAUUCCUAAAAUUCAAACCGGUUGCCGUCUAAUAUAGGCGGCAUCAU